UAGAACAUGCAACUUGAUGAACCUACCC
rnacentral:sRNA from 1 species